AUUGAACGCUGGCGGCAGGCUUAACACAUGCAAGUCGAGCGGGGUGAUGGUGCUUGCACUAUCACUUAGCGGCGGACGGGUGAGUAAUGCUUAGGAAUCUGCCUAUUAGUGGGGGACAACAUCUCGAAAGGGAUGCUAAUACCGCAUACGUCCUACGGGAGAAAGCAGGGGAUCACUUGUGACCUUGCGCUAAUAGAUGAGCCUAAGUCGGAUUAGCUAGUUGGUGGGGCAAAGGCCUACCAAGGCGACGAUCUGUAGCGGGUCUGAGAGGAUGAUCCGCCACACUGGGACUGAGACACGGCCCAGACUCCUACGGGAGGCAGCAGUGGGGAGUAUUGGACAAUGGGGGGAACCCUGAUCCAGCCAUGCCGCGUGUGUGAAGAAGGCCUUAUGGUUGUAAAGCACUUUAAGCGAGGAGGAGGCUCUUUUGGUUAAUACCCAAGAUGAGUGGACGUUACUCGCAGAAUAAGCACCGGCUAACUCUGUGCCAGCCGCCGCGGUAA
rnacentral:rRNA from 1 species